AACGAACGCUGGCGGCAGGCCUAACACAUGCAAGUCGAACGAGUAAGAGCCGUAGCAAUACGGAGUUCUGCUAGUGGCGCACGGGUGAGUAACGCGUGGGAACGUGCCUUGGAGUUCGGGAUAACAGUUGGAAACGACUGCUAAUACCGAAUAUUCCCUCAGGGGAAAGAUUAUCGCUCCAAGAUCGGCCCGCGUAAGAUUAGGUAGUUGGUGGGGUAAUGGCCUACCAAGCCUACGAUCUUUAGCUGGUCUGAGAGGACGACCAGCCACACUGGAACUGAGACACGGUCCAGACUCCUACGGGAGGCAGCAGUGGGGGAAAUAUUGGGACAAAUGGGCGAAAGCCUGAUCCAGCCAUGCCGCGUGAAAUGGUGAAGGCCUUAGGGUUGUAAAAUUCUUUGUC
rnacentral:rRNA from 1 species